rnacentral:rRNA from 1 species
GACGAACGCUGGCGGCGUGCUUAAACAUGCAAGGCGAACGGAAAGGCCCUGCUUUUGUGGGGUGCUCGAGUGGCGAACGGGUGAGUAACACGUGAGUAACCUGCCCUUUACUUUGGGAUAACUUCAGGAAACUGGGGCUAAUACCGGAUAGGGGCUCCUGCUGCAUGGUGGGGGUUGGAAAGUUUCGGCGGUUGGGGAUGGACUCGCGGCUUAUCAGCUUGUUGGUGGGGUAGUGGCUUACCAAGGCUUUGACGGGUAGCCGGCCUGAGAGGGUGACCGGCCACAUUGGGACUGAGAUCCGGCCCAGACUCCUACGGGAGGCAGCAGUGGGGAAUAUUGCACAAUGGGCGGAAGCCUGAUGCAGCAACGCCGCGUGCGGGAUGACGGCCUUCGGGUGGUAAACCGCUUUCGCCUGUGACGAAGCGUGAGUGACGGUAAUGGGUAAAGAAGCACCGGCUAACUACGUG